ACGUAGGGUGCGAGCGUUAAUCGGAAUUACUGGGCGUAAAGCGUGCGCAGGCGGUUUUGUAAGCCAGAUGUGAAAGCCCCGGGCUUAACCUGGGAACUGCGUUUGAAACUGGGAGACUUGAGUGUGGCAGAGGGGGGUGGAAUUCCGCGUGUAGCAGUGAAAUGCGUAGAGAUGCGGAGGAACACCGAUGGCGAAGGCAGCCCCCUGGGCCAACACUGACGCUCAGGCACGAAAGCGUGGGGAGCAAACAGGA
rnacentral:rRNA from 1 species